rnacentral:sRNA from 1 species
UACGUCUGUAGCUUACAGAGGAUGAGAACCUCCGAAGGAGGUUUGAGCCGAGCGCAGCGAGACAACGUUGCUUUAGCAACGGCCCGCAGGGGGAUAAUCCUCUCUCGCCGACCA